rnacentral:tRNA from 1 species
GGACCCGUAGUAUAGCCUGGAUAGCAUAGGAGCCUCCGGAGCUCUAGACCCGAGUUCGAAUCUCGGCGGGUCCGCCA